rnacentral:antisense_RNA from 1 species
CUUCAGCGACCCCAGCCACAGCGGCUGCCCGGAGGGGCGUUCCUGUCCGUACGUCGCCAGCAGCGCCUGCGCCUC